rnacentral:rRNA from 1 species
UACGGAAGGCAGCAGUGGGGAAUAUUGCACAAUGGGCGCAAGCCUGAUGCAGCCAUGCCGCGUGUAUGAAGAAGGCCUUCGGGUUGUAAAGUACUUUCAGCGGGGAGGAAGGGAGUAAAGUUAAUACCUUUGCUCAUUGACGUUACCCGCAGAAGAAGCACCGGCUAACUCCGUGCCAGCAGCCGCGGUAAUACGGAGGGUGCAAGCGUUAAUCGGAAUUACUGGGCGUAAAGCGCACGCAGGCGGUUUUGUUAAGUCAGAUGUGAAAUCCCCGGGCUCAACCUGGGAACUGCAUCUGAUACUGGCAAGCUUGAGUCUCGUAGAGGGGGUAGAAUUCCAGGUGUAGCGGUGAAAUGCGUAGAGAUCUGGAGGAAUACCGGUGGCGAAGGCGGGCCCCUGGGACGAAGACUGACGCUCAGGGUGCGAAAGCGUGGGGAGCAAACAGGGAUUAGAUAACC